GGAGUAUGGACCGUGUCUCAGUUCCAUUGUGACCGUUCAUCCUCUCAGACCGGUUACUGAUCGUCGGCUUGGUUAGCCUUUACCUAACCAACUACCUAAUCAGACGCAAACCCCUCACAUCGCGAUAAAUCUUUAGUAUAAAAUCCAUGCGAACUCUAUACAACAUUCGGUAUUAGCAAACCUUUCGGCUUGUUGUCCCCAUCAAUGCGGCAGGUUAUUUGCGCUUUACUCACCCGUUUGCCACUAGGUACAAGUACCCCGUUCGACUUGCAUGUGUUAAGCACGCCGCCAGCGUUCGUCCUCGAGCCAUGAUCAAACUACU
rnacentral:rRNA from 1 species